CCUCAACUGUCACUUGGCUGGUCAGUUCCUUUCUAGGUCUCCAACAGAGGGCCACACUCCAGGUGAUCCUGCCUGAGCUGAGGUACCACGCUCUCUGUUCAUGAACUCCUGAGGAACUCCUUCUUGGCCCACCACCACCCCUCCCGAGUGUAAUGACGAAGCUAGCACAUACUGGCUCAGGAAAGGUGUGAUGGAUUAAAGGGAAGACCGACCAGCGGCCUUCUGACAGGAAGGGCAGCUCAUCUCUUCUAAUCCCAUGGAAAGGAAGGCAGAACAGAAAGGCUGGCAAGGAACUAAAGACGGCUUACAGACUGCGUGGCAUAUACUCUUUGGCCCAGGACUCCUUUACCAGAGAACCUGGUGAGGUUUUCCCGACCCACAACACAUCUUCCCAUCAUCAAAUGUACAAAGGGGAGAACUCCUGAGUCUGCUGAGGAUAUGUAUCAGAACUCAAACAUCACUUCAAUUUCUUUCACUUCUCACCUUUCCUGACUCUUAGAGAGCAAUGGUGCUCAGUGGUCUCUGGCUUCAAGGAUCCUAAGGGACAAGCUGGCAGCAAGCGCAAGAAGCCUGCUUCUGAGCAGCUAUGCAACCUGGCUGGUCCAACUGGUCCCUCAGUGAUCCCCGUCUCUGCACCUGCUUGCCUCUCCUCUGCCUUUUCUUCAAGAUGUUAAAAACUUGCAAUAAAAAACAAAUACAAAACGCUGUAAUUAAUAGCCAAUUCCAAGCCAACCAAGCAUCUCUACUAAUAAACCUCAACACUUGCAAAAAGAACAAUAAAUUCUGCCCCUCUCUGGUUCUGAGGUGGUCUCUUUUAUAUA